UGCGUAGGUGGCCGGGUAAGUCUGAUGUGAAAUCUCCGAGCCUAACUCGGAAACUGCAUCGGAUACUAUUCGGCUGGAGGGUUGGAGGGGGGACUGGAAUACUUGGUGUAGCAGUGAAAUGCGUAGAUAUCAAGUGGAACACCAGUGGCGAAGGCGAGUCCCUGGACAACUCCUGACACUGAGGCACGAAAGCUAGGGAGCAAACA
rnacentral:rRNA from 1 species